GACUUCAACUCUUCAGCCUUCUGGGAC
rnacentral:piRNA from 1 species